GACCACUCCGGUGGCCUAGUGGUUUAGAGCGUCCGCCACAGAUGGGGGAGGUUGUGGGUUCGAUCCCUGGUCGAGUCA